rnacentral:rRNA from 1 species
UACGGAGGGGGCGAGCGUUAUUCGGAAUUACUGGGCGUAAAGGGCGCGUAGGCGGUCUUCUAAGUCUUGUGUGAAAUCCCUCGGCUCAACUGAGGAACUGCACGGGAUACUGGAAGACUUGAGUUCGGGAGAGGGAAGCGGAAUUCCGGGUGUAGCGGUGAAAUGCGUAGAUAUCCGGAGGAACACCGGUGGCGAAGGCGGCUUCCUGGACCGAUUACUGACGCUGAGGCGCGAAAGCUAGGGGAGCAAACGGG